UUCUAACCGUAAACGAUGACAACCAGCGAUUAGUCGGCGUUAAUAUAUGACCCGACUAGCAGCUUCCGGGAAACCAAAGUUUUUCGUUUCCGGGGGAAGUAUGGUUGCAAAGCUGAAACUUAAAGGAAUUGACGGAAGGGCACCACCAGGAGUGGAGCCUGCGGCUUAAUUUGACUCAACACGGGAAAACUCACCCGGCCCGGACACCGUAAGGAUUGACAGACUGAGAGCUCUUUCUUAAUUCGGUGGGUGGUGGUGCAUGGCCGUUCUUAGUUGGUGGAGCGAUUUGUCUGGUUAAUUCCGAUAACGAACGAGACUCUGGCCUAUUAAAUAGACGAUAUAUUUCGAGUAUAUCGCGCUUCUUAGAGGGACAAGCGGCGUCUAGCCGCAUGAAAUAGAGCAAUAACAGGUCUGUGAUGCCCUUAGAUGUCCGGGGCUGCACGCGCGCUACACUGAAAGAAUCAGAGUGCGUUUUGCCUAGUUCGGAAGAACCGGGUAACCCAAGUAAAUUCUUUCGUGCUUGGGAUAGGGAAUUGCAAUUAUUUCCCUUAAACGAGGAAUUCCCAGUAAAUGCGGGUCAUAAGCUCGCGUUG
rnacentral:rRNA from 1 species